AGCUCAGACACUCCUGGCCUCCCUCUUCCUCUGCAGUAUGUCAUGGAGGAGACAUACAGUAUAGAGAUCUCCAGACUAAUGUCUGUCUCUCACUCUAUCUCUAUCUGCUUGUCUGUCUCUAUCUCUGUCAGACAAUGGAAUUCACUUUAUCCUCACGGCUGGAGUUUCUUGUACUUUUUGCUACUGAGAGCACUACUCACAGGGCAGAGCAACUUUACCUUCUAGAAGAGCUCUCUGCAUUGCAUCUUUUAUCCCAGACUGUUCAGUCUCCAACCCAUCCUGUCCCGGCAGAAGAGAUAAUGAAGCUGUUCCUGUUUGCUGUAGCACUGCUGAGAGCUGAACAGAGGCAUUGCUGAAUGGACAGUGCAUGUCUCUGUGUGUGUGACUGCAUUUGUAUAUUUACGUGUGUCUGGAUAUCCACUUGUAUUUUUGUAUAUGGUCUAAUGUAUAAAUAUGUAUAUACUGUAUGUGCGUGUGUGUUUACCAGGCCCUCAUCUCUUAAGCCCUCCACUGGGUCUGGAUUGGACCAGUCUAAACACACACACCACACACACACACACACUCAUGUACACACACUCCUGCCCCCCUCAAAGCCAUGCUUUUAGAGACGAGGGGCCCUAAAUGCCUUACAGAUGGACUCCUAACAAAACACAACACUCUGUCUCGGCCCUCAAGUAUUCCCAGUAUUUGGCCUUGCUGUAAUUUACAGCAUACUUACCUAAUUGAGAUGCUAUUAAGGUCAGGGCAUGCAUUCUUCUGUGUAUGCCUGGUGCUAAUGCACAUGAUAUAAGCGUGACAUACACAGCACAGUAUAUUUGCCCUAAUAUAGCGGAGUGAAGUUAACCACAGGGUGAGUGUGAUCUAUGGUCCAUGUAGUGUACUUAGGGCAACACAAAUAAUGAUGUGUUGAGCAGAGACGUCUCUGUGCAGGUCUGGAGGGCACAUUAGAGGAUGUUUUCUUCACUAGAUACUGAUGGUUUUACACCCACCAACCUUGUGCAAUUUCCAAAUGCCACUCAGUACUACUUUAAUGACUUCAUUAGGAUGGACUAAAAACUGAACAAUUGCACCCAAACUGCUGAAACUGAUUUUUUUUUCUCAUGUUAAAAAACAUUUUUUUUUAACUUAUUUUCAAAAGUAUUUUAUUUUUAUGUUUCUACUUUUUAACACAGACAUAAAGUCAAGUGAAUCAUGGAAAAAACACCCACAAAUCUGAAGUUAAAACUACAUCAGAUUCUGGUGCUUUUCAUGUUUUACAUAUAACUGUAAAUAUAUUACC